rnacentral:tRNA from 1 species
ACUUUUUAGAGGAUGACAGUAAUCCAUUGGUCUUAGGAACCAAAAAAAUUGGUGCAACUCCAAAUAAAAGUA